GAGAAAGAUCCUGGCUCAGGACGAACGCUGGCGGCGUGCUUAACACAUGCAAGUCGAACGGUAAGGCCCCAGCUUGCUGGGGUACACGAGUGGCGAACGGGUGAGUAACACGUGGGUGACCUGCCCCGCACUUCGGGAUAAGCCUGGGAAACUGGGUCUAAUACCGGUUAGGACCGCACCGUGAGGGUGUGGUGGAAAGUUUUUCGGUGUGGGAUGGGCCCGCGGCCUAUCAGCUUGUUGGUGGGGUAAUGGCCUACCAAGGCGGCGACGGGUAGCCGGCCUGAGAGGGUGGACCCACAUUGGGACUGAGACACGGCCCAGACUCCUACGGGAGGCAGCAGUGGGGAAUAUUGCACAAUGGGCGGAAGCCUGAUGCAGCGACGCCGCGUGGGGGAUGACGGCCUUCGGGUUGUAAACUCCUUUCACCAUCGACGAAGGUUAACUGACGGUAGAUGGAGAAGAAGCACCGGCUAACUACGUGCCAGCAGCCGCGGUAAUACGUAGGGUGCGAGCGUUGUCCGGAAUUACUGGGCGUAAAGAGCUCGUAGGUGGUUUGUCGCGUCGUCUGUGAAAUUCCGGGGCUUAACUCCGGGCGUGCAGGCGAUACGGGCAUAACUUGAGUACUGUAGGGGAGACUGGAAUUCCUGGUGUAGCGGUGAAAUGCGCAGAUAUCAGGAGGAACACCGGUGGCGAAGGCGGGUCUCUGGGCAGUAACUGACGCUGAGGAGCGAAAGCAUGGGUAGCGAACAGGAUUAGAUACCCUGGUAGUCCAUGCCGUAAACGGUGGGCGCUAGGUGUCCAGGGGUCUUCCACGACUUCUGUGCCGUAGCUAACGCAUUAAGCGCCCCGCCUGGGGAGUACGGCCGCAAGGCUAAAACUCAAAGGAAUUGACGGGCCCGCACAAGCGGCGGAGCAUGUGGAUUAAUUCGAUGCAACGCGAAGAACCUUACCUGGGCUUGACAUAUACGGGACCGGGCCAGAGAUGGUCCUUCCCUUGUGGCUCGUAUACAGGUGGUGCAUGGUUGUCGUCAGCUCGUGUCGUGAGAUGUUGGGUUAAGUCCCGCAACGAGCGCAACCCUUGUCUUAUGUUGCCAGCACGUAAUGGUGGGGACUCGUGAGAAACUGCCGGGGUCAACUCGGAGGUCAAGGUGGGGAUGACGUCAAAUCAUCAUGCCCCUUAUGUCCAGGGCUUCACACAUGCUACAAUGGUCGGUACAGUGGGUUGCGAUGCCGUGAGGUGGAGCUAAUCCCUGAAAGCCGGUCUCAGUUCGGAUCGGGGUCUGCAACUCGACCCCGUGAAGUCGGAGUCGCUAGUAAUCGCAGAUCAGCAACGCUGCGGUGAAUACGUUCCCGGGCCUUGUACACACCGCCCGUCACGAUGAAAGUCGGUAACACCCGAAGCCAGUGGCCCAACCCUUGUGGGGGGAGCUGUCGAAGGUGGGAUCGGCGAUUGGGACGAAGUCGUAACAAGGUAUUGCG
rnacentral:rRNA from 1 species